CUUAUUCUAGUAUUUGUUCUUCUUGACGGUCUUCUUAAUAUUCUUUGUUGAGAUUACAAGUUUUUCUCGAUCGUCCUUGUGUUUUUCCUUAUAUCUUGAAGCAUACUUUCUUCCUUGUAUCCCAACAAGUUUUGACAUAAUCAACCUUGUUUCUUCAUGGUUGUAUCUUAAAGAAUUCUCUGGUUCCUUCUUAUACAAGGCUUAUGGGUGGAUUCUUAGAGUCUUGAGUCUUUUUCUUCUUUCCGGACACCCUAAACUUACUCGAAGAUCUUUUGUCCUCGAAAGUUCACUUUUCAUACCAUGCCUUGGGGGAGUUCUUGGUCUUAGUUAUGUCCUUCGAAGUACCUUGAGGGUCCUUUUGUAGGGGUUUGUCCUUCUCCGACAUGUUUUUUCCAAUUUUCCCUUGUGGCCUUUUGUCCUACUUUAAGGUCAUGUACUUAUUCUGAUAUUUGUUCUUCUUGACUGUCUUUUAACAUCCUUUGUUGAGAUUUAAAGCCUUUCUUGAUCAUCUUUAUGUUGUUCCUUAUAUCUUGGGAGCAUAUUUCCUUCCUUGUACCAAAAAAGUAUUGUCAUAAUCAACCUUGUCCCUUCAAGGUUUUAUCUUAGAGAAUUCUCUUGUUCCUUCUUCUACCAGGCUUAUUGGUGAAUUCCUAGAGUCUUAAUCUUUUCCUUCGUAGGAGUAAAUACUAUUUCUUUUUCGAACCUUUUCUAAAAGCUUGAAUCCUUAUAAUUCCUUUAGGGCAUUAAAAAUCUCUUCCAUUGGUCAAUUAACCAUCCUUGGUCUUUUAAUCUUUUUUUUUUUUUUUGAUCCCUUAGUCCUAUCUUGGACAAACUAAACUUACCCAAAGAUCUCUUCAUCUUACUUGGUCUCUUACAUAUUCUCCCCAUCUUAAAAACUUGUCCUCAAAAGUUCACUUUUCUAACCAUGCCUUGAGGGAGUUCUUGGUCUUAGUUAUGUACUUCAAAGUUCCUUGAGGGUCCCCUUGCAGAAACAAUAGGAAAGGAUUGGAAGAUCUUGGGGUGCAGUCUAGCCUUAUUAGAUCACACUUCUGUAUGGGGGAGUGUGUACAACUUCUUCAUGAUAUCAGAAGCAUAAAGAACAUCAAAAAAGAAAAACAAAGACAUUAAGCAUAGGAAUCUAACCUUAUUAGGAUCACAAUAUUGCCAAAAAUGCCAAUCUAUACUCUCGUGCACGGAGUUAAACAAGCACCAAAUAUCAACUUUGAAAGUUUUGCAAUAUUUUUGCACCUUGUCAUGAAGCAAGCUAGCAAGACAAAAACUUCUAAAGAAACCAUAGAAAACAUGCUUUCUAGGAAUUUUCACAUUUGAAAUUCAC